AACGAACGCUGGCGGCAUGCCUAACACAUGCAAGUCGAACGAGACCUUCGGGUCGAGUGGCGCCCGGGUGCGUAACGCGUGGGAACCUGCCCUUAGGUUCGGAAUAACUCCCCGAAAGGGGUGCUAAUACCGGAUAAUUUCUUCGGACCAAAGAUUUAUCGCCUUUGGCUGGGCCCGCGUUGGAUUAGCUAGUUGGUAGGGUAAAAGCCUACCAAGGCGACGAUCCAUAGCUGUUCUGAGAGGAUGAUCAGCCACACUGGGACUGAGACACGGCCCAGACUCCUACGGGAGGCAGCAGUGGGGAAUAUUGGACGAUGGGCGAAAGCCUGAUCCAGCAAUGCCGCGUGAGUGAUGAAGGCCUUAGGGUUGUAAAGCUCUUUUACCCGGGAUGAUAAUGACAGUACCGGGAGAAUAAGCUCCGGCUAACUCCGUG
rnacentral:rRNA from 1 species